rnacentral:rRNA from 1 species
AGAGUUUGAUUAUGGCUCAGGACGAACGCUGGCGGCGUGCCUAACACAUGCAAGUCGAACGAAGCUUGAAGCUUUGAGAUUUCGGUCAAGAAGCGGAUAUGACUUAGUGGCGAACGGGUGAGUAAUGCGUGAGCAACCUGCCUUUCAGAGGGGGACAACAGCUGGAAACGGCUGCUAAUACCGCAUAAUGUAUCCGGUAGGCAUCUAUUGGAUACCAAAGGAGCAAUCCGCUGAAAGAUGGGCUCACGUCUGAUUAGCUAGAUGGCGGGGUAACGGCCCACCAUGGCGACGAUCAGUAGCCGGUCUGAGAGGAUGAACGGCCACAUUGGGACUGAGAUACGGCCCAG